rnacentral:rRNA from 1 species
UGGGGAAUCUUGCACAAUGGGCGAAAGCCUGAUGCAGCAACGCCGCGUGCGGGAAGACAGCCCUAGGGUUGUAAACCGCUUUCAGCAGGGAAGAAACUGACGGUACCUGCAGAAGAAGAUGCGGCCAACUACGUGCCAGCAGCCGCGGUGACACGUAGGCAUCAAGCGUUAUCCGGAUUUAUUGGGCGUAAAGAGCUCGUAGGCGGUCCGUUGCGUCUGCCGUGAAAACCCGGAGCUCAACUCCGGGCCUGCGGUGGAUACGGGCGGACUAGAGUCCGGUAGGGGAGACUGGAAUUCCUGGUGUAGCGGUGGAAUGCGCAGAUAUCAGGAGGAACACCGGUGGCGAAGGCGGGUCUCUGGGCCGGAACUGACGCUGAGGAGCG